GACGCUCCGGUUGUUUAGUGGUUAGAGCAUCCACCUCAGAUACGAGAGGUCGUGGGUUCAAUCCCCGAUCGAGUCA